rnacentral:rRNA from 1 species
UACGAGGGGGGAAAGCGUUGUUCGGAAUUAUUGGGCGUAAAGGGCGCGUAGGCGGUUUGACAAGUCUGAUGUGAAAUCUAUGGGCUCAACCCAUAGCCUGCAUUAGAAACUGUCGGGCUUGAGUAUGGGAGAGGUGAGUGGAAUUUCCGGUGUAGCGGUGAAAUGCGUAGAUAUCGGAAGGAACACCAGUGGCGAAGGCGACCACCUGGACUGAUACUGACACUGAGGUGCGAAAGCGUGGGGAGCAAACAGG